GAUGAAGAACGCAGUGAAAUGCGAUAAGUAAUGUGAAUUGCAGAAUUCAGUGAAUCAUCGAAUCUUUGAACGCACAUUGCGCCCGUCAGUAUUCUGACGGGCAUGCCUGUCCGAGCGUCAUUUCAACCCUCAAGCACUGCUUGGCGUUGGCGGAAUGCGUGCCCUCGCGGCGCUGCAACCGCCCAAAUACAGUGGCGGUCCCGCUGCGGCUCCCUUUGCGUAGUAACUCACCUCGCACUGGACCGGGCGGCGGCCUGCCGUAAAACCCCAACUCACGAAAUGUUGACCUCGGAUCAGGUAGGAAUACCCGCUGAACUUAAGCAUAUCAAUAAGCGGAGGA
rnacentral:misc_RNA from 1 species